GACGAACGCUGGCGGCGUGCUUAACACAUGCAGGUCGAACGGAAAGGCCCUGCUUUUGUGGGGUGCUCGAGUGGCGAACGGGUGAGUAACACGUGAGUAACCUGCCCUUGACUUUGGGAUAACUUCAGGAAACUGGGGCUAAUACCGGAUAGGAGCUCCUGCUGCAUGGUGGGGGUUGGAAAGUUUCGGCGGUUGGGGAUGGACUCGCGGCUUAUCAGCUUGUUGGUGGGGUAGUGGCUUACCAAGGCUUUGACGGGUAGCCGGCUUGAGAGGGUGACCGGCCACAUUGGGACUGAGAUACGGCCCAGACUCCUACGGGAGGCAGCAGUGGGGAAUAUUGCACAAUGGGCGGAAGCCUGAUGCAGCAACGCCGCGUGCGGGAUGACGGCCUUCGGGUUGUAAACCGCUUUCGCCUGUGACGAAGCGUGAGUGACGGUAAUGGGUAAAGAAGCACCGGCUAACUACGUG
rnacentral:rRNA from 1 species